ACAUGUCCCAAGAAAGAAAGAAUAAGCUUGAUCCUAGUCUCUCCUCCUCCCAAGAGUGAAGAAGCUGAAGUAGGGCCACUGUUAGAACAGUCAUGAGAUGUCUCCAAAGCAGAUUUACUGAUUUAGCAAACACUCCUUCUUGCUAGACUGUCUUGAAGACUGCAGUUCGCACCCAGAGGUGAAAUGGGUUUAAAGAUUUACAGAUUCUCAGCAACUAGAAGAACCUACAGUUGUGAAAGGGGGGCUCAUUAGAGUUGGACCAGUAGCCAGGAUAUCUCCACACUGGACAAGACAUACGCACCCCUGUACCUCCAAACAGAUGCAUUCAUUGAAGUUGUGGAGGAGGGAGAGAGAAAAGACUGAAAUAUAAAGGAUCAGAGGGUGGAGAACAUCUCAAACAAGAAUUAGCCAGCCAUAACUUCCUUCAGGAUUUUUAUUGUUGGGUUGUGUGUAAA
rnacentral:lncRNA from 1 species